UUUAUUUCUAAAGGCUAAGUGCAUUUAUUUCACGGCUUUUUUUAUUAAUUCCGGUACAUGAAUUUAUGCAAGUGAGAUGGAAAAAUACGCCACCAGAGUGCUGUCUAACACUUAUAAAACUACAGACUCACUGAAUGGUUGAGGUUGGAAGGGACUUCUGGAGGUCACUCGGUCCAACCCCGUAUUUUCCCCCUGCAGGGAUAUUUUAUAUCCUCCAAGACUACUUGUUCUUUUUUUUUUUAUUUCAGCACAUUUCAAAGCAGAGGCACAGUGCACUCCUGACCUUCCUGUCAUCAUGUGGGGCAUAUUUACACCCGUCCACAAUGUGUCUGCUCCAAGCUGUUCUCGAGAAUCUCCCCUGAUACUACAUAGCCUUCUCCAUGAAGCUAUUAUUUCAAAAGGAAACAGAUGGGAAACAGCCAUAAUUAGCACAAGGCAUUCCUUCUUAUCUCUUUGUCUUCCAGAAACAGGCGAGACUGACAUACUCCUCUAAACUUUCUGUUUAAAGAUACAUAGAAAACAAUGAAAAUCUUAUCGUCUUCCAGAAUAACUGUAAGUACCACAACUCUGUCCAUGUCCUGAAGUGAUCUGAAGAGCAGCCAUUUCCUGGUAUAUUUUUGGAUAGAAGGUGUACAGUCUGCAACCCUGGCCCUUUUCCAACCCUUAUCACAUCAAUAUUGUGUCAUCUCAUCAUAUAGAUAAACUGUUCCUGCUGGAAUGGCCAUUACCCAAACUGGGGGCAUCCUCCAUGCAAUGCUUCUAACUUCUCUGAGAAAUCCCAGAAACUCUCAGAUGCUGCUGAGCUAUAAGAUAUCAGUGCAGCACAGUGCACACUCACAGACUUCCUCAUUGCAUCCAUGAAAAAAUGGGAUGAAGGUCAAUACUGGCCAUGCACAUUCCCAUGCUGUGAGCAGCAACCGAGGAGCAAAAGCCAGCAUUAGAUAGGUGGUAAGUACAUUUGCAAGCUCCUGUCCUGGGAGAAUCACAGAAGUCAUGUCUGGCAAACGCCCUUAUGGCUUCCCUCAAUUUUUACUUUAUCCCCCAUGUGUCAACACACUCAUCUCCAGGUCUGAAUGGCUAAAAAUUGUCCAAGUAGUUUCCUGACCUCAACAAGUACAGUACCAAAAUCCUCUUGUGCAUCAACUGCAACCCAUCCCCAUGAGUCAUGGUCAGAGCAGCCAGAAGCAGCCCUCUGCUGCCAAAAAAACAAUGCCUGAUAAAUCAGCUGGUGAAACAACAGCCUCUCUUCACCUUACCAUUUGUUUAGCUAUUGUACUUAAGGAAAUAUCAAACCUCAGCUCCUCCACCUGGGCAGCAGGAUUCCCGGCAGUAGAACAGAGAUGGCAGUAUCCAAAAUCCCUCCCACUGUCAUCUAAAUGGCUCCAGAUAGUUGACAUACCCCAAAACUUGAGCAACACAUGCUGCAUGACAUAGAAAAUAGAAAUCACAAAUUUUAAGCAGCCUGUGCAUUGCUAAGAAGUUUCACCUCAUGAACCAAUUCACCUGAGGGAAGUCUUGUGUCUUGGAAGCCUCUCUGUACGGUCAUGCUAUGUCCUAAAUGACCUAACAGUGAGGAGCUGUCAGCAAAGCAUUGCCAUCGCUGCAAUCGUCUGCUUGUUGGCAGCUCCAGACACACCACCGGGAGAACGAGGAGAGUAAUGAAGAUGGGAUCCAACCAUGGGAGAUGGUUGGAUAGAAAAAUCCUUCAGGUCCAAAAAACCCCAAAUAAAGCCAACAAAGACAUUCAGAGAAAUAUCUGUGUUUAGAAGUCACCGGGUUUUGAGCGGUCAUUGAAAUCCUGAUAAAUAAAGGUUCUAAACCACUUGUUAUACCAUGUUCCAUUAAUGUCUGAAUGAUGGAGUUUCUGAUAGAAGAAAGGGCAAAGUGAGAUGGGAACUUAGGAACUGGGGUCUAAGUCUGUAGUUCUUACAUUUCAGACACGAGCUAUUUGAGGUAUUUGAGGUCAGAUUUUUACACAUGGAUUUGAAUGACAGUUGUGAAAUUCCUCACUAACAAUUUAAAUCAGUGAACUCCUUAAACUCUCUCUUAUGUAUAAAACAGGUGACUACACUUGUAGCAGAACUGAUGAUUCACUUCCAGUUCAGUGCUGAAACAGCCUUGGCCCAGCACUUCAUUUGAUAGUUCAAGUAUUCUUUUCUUGGGUUAAUUCAGUACUUUAUUAAUAAAAAGCUUAGCUUCAGUGAUGUUUGCUUGGUUUUAGGUGAGUUUAUUUUAAAAGCUCUAAUGAAAUAUUUAAAGCCGAAACUGAUACUGGACCCAUCUCUCUGGAGCAACACUGCUCUAAAACCUUGGAGGACCUGGAGCCAGUCAGUUGAAAGGCAAUUUCCCCCACAAUAAAUCUGUGCUCUCACACACUGGGAAGCUGUUAACAGGGAGAGUGGGGAACUCAGCUCAGAGAGUGUCUGACAGCAGAGGACCACACAAGGUGCGAGGUAGAGUAGAACCGAGCCAUAAAUUAUCACUUCAUUAUGUUACUAUUCAAAUAGCCUUUGGGAUCAAGGUUGCCUUCCUCCCACCAUGAAUUUUGCUGUCUUCCACCUUGUCUUCCUCAGUCCCCUGUAGUCUGGUGAAGAGAUACUUCACAUGUGAACAUCAGAGAUUUCCAUGGGCUCACCACUUCUCCUCAUUUCUAGCAUGUCCUUGCAGGUGGCAUCAACAGAAAAUGAGGAGUUGGGACUUCUAGAGUCACAGAAUAUCCUGAUUUGAAAGGGACAUACAAGGAUCAUCAAAUCCAAGUCCUGGCUCCGUGACCCAAAAGUUAAACUACAUUUAUUGAAUCACAUAAUAUCCAUAUAUUAUAUAGACAAAUAUAGCAACAUGCCCAUAUGGCUCCAUAGAGGUGUCUUUGGUGUGGACUUCACUGCAUGGCAGACAUAUGCAUUUGGGAGCAGUAGAAAUGACACAGGAAUCUGCAUUUUGGAGUAGGUUGUCAUGGCAGUGGUGAGCAGAAAGACCGUGUGAAUUGGUAAAUAAAAACAGGUCAUUCAAAUUUUGAAUGAAUUUCUAAGACCCACCGGCAUAUUUAUGAUUAACUUACAUGUUUUUAGGAUGUCACAGAAUCAUAGAAUGGCCUGAGUUGAAAAGGACAAUAAUGAUCAUCUAGUUUCAAUGUCACAGACGCAGGAUCUUUGUCUUUCAGUACAUGGUCCAUCAUCAGGCAAAAGCAACACUGCUUCAACUAUGUUCUCCCUAGAAAUGAAAAUGCAAUGAAAACCAAAACACCUUAACAACGUGUAGCAAGAUGAGGCAGGACUUUCAAUGUCCUCCCUCCCACAUAAUUGCAGUCUGUGAUAUCCAUCUGAUAGAGACCUCUGUGUGAUCAUCCCUCUGGGUAAGCACCUGUGCACCUUCUGAUCAGCACAAGUUCUCAUCUGUUCACAUUGAUCCUCUGUCAAAAGUUAUUUCUGUCAACCCCCAAGGAGACCACAAAGGCUUAUCAAGCAAUGGACACUCAGAACUGGUAAAAAUGUAAGAGAACAGCAUGCAGUAUUUAAAACCAUUUUCAGUGCAGCUACAACAAGCAAAGACCAACUGCAGGAUGUGGAUCCUCAUUCAGCCUUGAGUUUACUUUGCUCUUGCAGCAAGACAGGAAGGCAGUAGAGAGAGCAUGAUCAGUUGUGCCAAAUCUCCAGAGCAGGGCUUAUAUUUAUGGACCACAUUAAAAACUGUGGCAGAAGGAAAUCCACAAGUUGGAAAGCCAUGCUGGCUGCAGCUCUGUGGGAAACAACAAGGCAGAAAAGCAAAAUUUGUCAAAUGGAUGAGAAAAAAUAUGAACUGAAGAGGAGCUGUUGCAAACCUGAUCUUCUGGCAGCUAGAAUAUCAUGCAGGAUUUGCCAAAGGAUGUAGUCUCAUCCCUUCGAAGGAUAGGAGAUCUCAAUAUCACCAGGAUGUGAUUUUUUUCCACAACAGAGGUGUUGGCCAUUUCUGGAAAGCUCUCACUAUGAGUCAGUCAUGUACUGCUUUUCCAUUUUCUCAGAAGAACUCUGUAAAUACACUUGAGGCAAUGGAAAGCCAUCUGGAGGCAGAGGUUGAAAGAUGGGUUAUGACUGCUUCGUUCAGUGAUGCAGACCUCUGAAAACAGGGUAAUAAAUGGACUCUGCAAUGCUAAAGCAAGAUUUUGUCAGAAUUAAUCCACUCCUUACUUAUAAACGUCAGCAAUUUUAUGGGAUAUAUUUUAUGAACACAAGUUUCAGUCAGGCUUCAGUUAGGCUCUGAUCAACCAUUUGAGUUACUCCACCACUCAGUUUCUAAGUGCAGCUGAGCCAUUUGCACACCCUCAGAUGAGAACUUCAUCUUCAAUAACGCAAAUAUCUGUGGUCCCACCAAGGUAACUAAUGUCUCAUCUAGUCUAAGAAAUGCAUGUAUGCUCUAACCUAUUCAGAAGCCAUCUGUAAUUGCGUUUCUCAGGUGUGCAUUCCAAAUGGAAAACUAAUUAUUUGUUUAUUAAAAUAUGAGUUGCUCAGAGCAUAGCUGAGG
ensembl:lncRNA